rnacentral:misc_RNA from 1 species
UCACUGCACCUCUCACAGCAAUCAGUGAACCCCUCCCCCUUCCCCAGAAGGUUUGGCUGUCGCCGCUUCUAUUCCCCAUCAGAACGGGGGCCGACUUCCAGCGGAAGCAUAUAUACAGAAAGGCCUGCAGCCACCGCCGCUGCAAUUAUGAAGGAGCACCAAAGGCUCCCUUGGAAAAUCUGUAUUUGCCAUCGCAGCAGAAGUCGCUAUCUCGCCACACUGGCAGCGUUGCCAUCAAUGAGCCAAAGCGAUAUGUCUUUCUGCUCGGUGGCGCUCAAGCUUGCACCUGUUCCUCCUCCGCGUGCGUCUACACCCACCUUUCGGGUAACCGGCAAGGUAAGUAAACCUUCACACGAGCGCACAUGCCGGCGAUUGCGGUUAUGUCGUUCCUGAUACACAUCGCUCACAUUCCACUUGCCGGGGUACAUUUCGACCAAAAACACAACCAUGCUUUAAAUCGGCGUGAUAGCCUUUCCGCACAGAGGGCACCUGCUCGCCUGGCAUUUGCUGGGGCGGUGGAGGAAAGCGUUUCCCCACUUGACG